AGGACGAACGCUGGCGGCGCGCUUAACACAUGCAAGUCGAACGUGAAGCCCGGGCUUGCCCGGGUGGAAAGUGGCGAACGGGUGCGUAACACGUGAGCAACCUGCCCCGAAGACCGGGAUAACACCGGGAAACCGGUGCUAAUACCGGAUGCCCUCAUCAUGUCGCAUGGCGAGAUGAGGAAAUGGAUUCCGCUUCGGGAUGGGCUCGCGGCCUAUCAGCUUGUUGGUGAGGUAACGGCUCACCAAGGCAACGACGGGUAGCUGGUCUGAGAGGAUGUCCAGCCACACUGGGACUGAGACACGGCCCAGACUCCUACGGGAGGCAGCAGUGGGGAAUCUUGCACAAUGGGCGAAAGCCUGAAUGCAGCGACGCCGCGUGCGGGAUGACGGCCUUCGGGUUGUAAACCGCUUUCAGCAGGGACGAUAAUGACGGUACCUGCAGAAGAAGCCCCGGCCAACUACGUGCCAGCAGCCGC
rnacentral:rRNA from 1 species